rnacentral:lncRNA from 11 species
GAGAAGUUGGGGCUAACAGUGGGGGCUCUGUCUGUUCCUCGAAUUCAAACCUGCAACCUUUCGGUCCAGAAGUUUAGCAGCUCAGCGCUUUAACACGCUGCACCAUCAGGGGUAUUAUUUUCGUAAGGUUGUGAAUAUACAAUAUUUUUGAUUGUUUUUGUCUGUUGGAGGGAAGUAUGAAUGCUGCAAUUAGGAAAAAUGAUUAGCAUGUAAUGACCUUGUAGCUUUAAAGCCUGGCUGUUUCCUCCCUGAGUGAAUUUUUUGUUGGGAGGUGUUAGCUGGCCGUGAUUGUUUCCUCUCUGGAAUUUCCUUGUUUUCAGAGUGGUGUUGUGUGUGAUAUUUUAUGUGCUUCUACUGUCUGUGACCCUCAGAAAACAGAGGAUUUGCCAGACUUUGGCGAUGGGAAUACUUUGUUGGGAGGUGUUAGCUGGCCCUGAUUGUUUCCUGUCUGGAAUUCCCGUUUUCAGAGUGGUGUUGUUUAUUUAGUGUUGUGAUUGUAGAGAUUAUAUUGUUGUGUAUUACUGCACCACAGUAAUUAUUUCAUCUUACAGUAGAAUCUCAGUUAUCCAACAUUUGGUAAUGCAAUGUUCUGGAUUAUCCAAUGUAGUCUGCGUUUUAGUAGUCAAUUUUUGUGUAUUCAGUGUUUUAAAUUGUGAUACUUUUUCUGUCAAAUUUGUUGUAUAACAUGAUGUUUUGGUGGUUAAUUUGUAUAAUGAUUCCCUAAUUUGAUGUUUAAUUGGGAUUUCCUGAAUCCGUUCUUAUUAUCCAACAUAUUCAGUUAUGCAAUGUUGUGCUGGGAUGUUUAUGUUGGAUAAGUGAGAUUCUACUGUAUAUUUAUAAUUUUGCAAGGAAGGCGUUUGCGCCAUCCCCCGGGACCUGGAAAAGGGUAAAUAAGAGAAGAGGAGAAGGCGCUCUGUACGUGCUCAGGGGCCAGGUGGGAGGCGUGGCGGGGUGAGGUCUGCCCUUCCCCUUUGCCCCUCAAUCCCGGCCCUUCCCCUCCUACCGGAGGUGGCGCCGGUGUGGUGGUGGGUUGUAGGCCAGGCAAGAGCGGGCUCCAGUGGAGGCGCAGGCCUGGGGCGUCGCGGCUUCCUCCCCGCCUCCGCGCUUCCCGAUGCCGGCCUCCAUGUUCUUCCCGCGGAGGACAGGAGGAGGCCUGAGCAGCGGCGAGGAGGAGGAGGGGAACCAGGCCAGGAAGGCGGGCAACGUGGUGCUCGUCCGCCGCUGCAGGCCCGAGAGGAAGAGAAAGGGGUGGGAAAGGCUGCCCCUCCACACAGAGGGAGAGAGGCAGGACUCGCUUUCCCAGAAGUGCCUGGCGCGGCAAUGACAGUGUUGGCGCCAAAAACCAGGAAGGUCCCGAGGGAGGGACCUUUUUGUUUUCCAGGCGAGAGCACUUCCUACAGAUGA